GCUGGCGGCAUGCCUAACACAUGCAAGUCGAACGAGAAAGUUCCUUCGGGAGCGAUUAAAGUGGCGCACGGGUGAGUAACGCGUAGACAAUCUGCCCUUCAGUCUGGGACAACUUUUCGAAAGGAGAGCUAAUACCGGAUGACAAUGUAACACAUAAGUGUCACAUUUGAAAGCUCCGGCGCUGAAGGAGGGGUCUGCGUCCCAUUAGCUAGUUGGUAAGGUAAAGGCUUACCAAGGCGACGAUGGGUAGCGGGUUUGAGAGGACGAUCCGCCACACUGGAACUGAGACACGGUCCAGACUCCUACGGGAGGCAGCAGUGGGGAAUAUUGCACAAUGGAGGCAACUCUGAUGCAGCAAUGUCGCGUGAGUGAAGAAGGCCCUUGGGUCGUAAAGCUCUUUUAUGGGGGAAGAUGAUGACGGUACCCCAAGAAUAAGCACCGGCUAACUACGUGCCAGCAGCCGCGGUAAUACGUAGGGUGCGAGCGUUGUUCGGAAUUACUGGGCGUAAAGGGCGCGCAGGCGGAAUAGUAAGUCGGAGGUGAAAGCCCGGGGCUCAACCCCGGAGGGUCUUUCGAAACUGCUAAUCUAGAGAGGGUCAGGGGCCAGCAGAAUUCUUGGUGUAGAGGUGAAAUUCGUAGAUAUCAAGAGGAAUACCGGUGGCGAAAGCGGCUGGCUGGGGCCACUCUGACGCUGAGGCGCGAAAGCGUGGGGAGCAAACAGGAUUAGAUACCCUGGUAGUCCACGCCGUAAACGAUGAGCACUGGAUGUCCGGAGGGUUCGACCCUUCUGGGUGUCUCAGCUAACGCAUUAAGUGCUCCGCCUGGGGAGUAC
rnacentral:rRNA from 1 species